UAACAUUUGUUUUGUUGUCAGCGGGUUAGCGGCAUGCCAUUCAAAGAAGUGAGUUAGAUGUUGUGUGUAGAAAAGUUUAUAGCGAUUUGUAUGCGUUUCAAAGCAGCUGAUUUUUAGCCUUUGUGAUUGCUUCUCUGCUCGAGCAGGGAAAUGUCUUGCUGUCACAGUCAUCUGCUCCUACAACAGCAGCUGCUCUGAAUGAAGAACAGUACUCAUCUCUGCCGUAAGUGCUUGUGGAGCAGCUCAGGUACUUGGCGGCCGGAUCAUCCAUGAUGGACUUACAUUUUCAGUACAGAAUUUGAGUAUCAACUAUCUCGUAUAUUAUACGAGACGUUUGCUCUGCCAUAUGGCGUAAAACGAAGUCAAAAUGUUUUCCCGACCUCUCGAAAGAUCUAUGGCUUGCCUCAGCUGAAGGAUUCCAUAAGAGGGCCAACUUUCCUCAUUGUGUGGGUGCAGUGGACGGGAAGCACAUCAGAAUUGUAAAACCCACUUCCAGUGGUUCACUCUACUAUAAUUAUAAGAACUAUUUUUCCAUUCUGUUGUUAGCUAUUUGUGAUUCGACGUACAAAUUCUUAUUUACAGUGUUAAAUAAUAAACUACAAGAUGGUACGCUAGAUUUACCUGCACCAAAACAACUGUCAUUAUCGUUUGAAAGACCUAUGCCAUUCAUGUUAGUAGGAGAUGAAGGUUUCGGAUUGUCAAAAUUCAUUUUGCGCCCUUAUGGUGGAAAGCAUUUAGACAUUAAAAAACGUGUGUUCAACUAAAGACUGUGCAGAGCUAGAAUGUACAUCGAGUGUACUUUCGGAAUUCUUGCAAACAAGUGGCGCAUUUUCUAUCGACCACUGGAUGUUAAAUUAGAUUUGGCAGAGUCUAUUGUGAAGACAUGUUGCCUCCUCCAUAACUUUGUGCAUGAUCGUGAUGGAAUACAGUUUGAGGAUACGUUAACUAUUCAGGGAUUGCAGGACAUGUCACCUUGCUUGGUCCGUGGAGGAAAUAUUGCUAACGGUACCAGAGAAGAUUUCGCAAACUACUUCAUCAGCCCGCUGAAGGCGAAGUGCCAUGGCAGCUGCAAAAAAUCUAAGUGCUAGAAAUGUUAUGUGAACAUUAAUGUCGUUAGGCCUAAAUGUUCAUUGGAAUUGUAUUUGAAAUGUGCAGUGUUCAAUUAUUACCAUGUUAACUGUAACAAACCAUACUGUUGCGUUCACUGAACUGAUUAAAACUUGCAAUUAAAAUUAUAAUUACAAUGCACUUUUUUGUAUUACAGUUAUGUGUACCUAAUUGAACAGAACCCAAGCACGAGCACUGUUCUCAUUCGGGUGUCAAAAACUUGUAAGUCAAUAGUAUU